AAAAAAUAAGCGCCAGGACACAGAAUUUUUGUGUUGACGAGGUUUAGAGUUAUCGAAAUAUUCGGCGGAUGCUCUAAUGGUUUCCUAAAAUCAAUAGUAUUCUAACAAAAAAUAUCAGUAAUGAUAUAACAAAACCGAAUACA
rnacentral:ncRNA from 1 species